rnacentral:rRNA from 1 species
UACGUAGGGUGCAAGCGUUGUCCGGAAUCAUUGGGCGUAAAGGGCGUGUAGGCGGCUCGGUAAGUCCGCUGUGAAAGUCCAGGGCUCAACCCUGGAAUGCCAGUGGAAACUGUCGAGCUAGAGUCCGGAAGAGGCGAGUGGAAUUCCUGGUGUAGCGGUGAAAUGCGCAGAUAUCAGGAGGAACACCAAUGGCGAAGGCAGCUCGCUGGGACGGUACUGACGCUGAGACGCGAAAGCGUGGGGAGCAAACAGG